rnacentral:rRNA from 1 species
UACGAAGGGGGCUAGCGUUACUCGGAAUUACUGGGCGUAAAGCGUGCGCAGGCGGUGAUGUAAGACAGUUGUGAAAUCCCCGGGCUCAACCUGGGAACUGCAUCUGUGACUGCAUCGCUGGAGUGCGGCAGAGGGGGAUGGAAUUCCGCGUGUAGCAGUGAAAUGCGUAGAUAUGCGGAGGAACACCGAUGGCGAAGGCAAUCCCCUGGGCCUGCACUGACGCUCAUGCACGAAAGCGUGGGGAGCAAACAGG